UACAGAGGGUGCGAGCGUUGUCCGGAAUCACUGGGCGUAAAGGGCGCGUAGGCGGUCUCUUAAGCGUGUGGUGAAAGCCCGGGGCUCAACUCCGGGUCGGCCGUGCGAACUGGGGGACUGGAGCUUGUCAGAGGCAGGCGGAAUUCCGGGUGUGGCGGUGGAAUGCGUAGAGAUCCGGAAGAACACCGGUGGCGAAGGCGGCCUGCUGGGACAGUGCUGACGCUGAGGCGCGACAGCGUGGGGAGCAAACAGG
rnacentral:rRNA from 1 species